GGCGAACGCUGGCGGCGUGCCUAAUACAUGCCAGUAGAACGCUGAAGGAGGAGCUUGCUCUUCUGGAUGAGUUGCGAACGGGUGAGUAACGCGUAGGUAACCUGCCUGGUAGCGGGGGAUAACUAUUGGAAACGAUAGCUAAUACCGCAUAACAGUAGAUGUUGCAUGACAUUUGCUUAAAAGGUGCAAUUGCACCACUACCAGAUGGACCUGCGUUGUAUUAGCUAGUUGGUGGGGUAACGGCUCACCAAGGCGACGAUACAUAGCCGACCUGAGAGGGUGAUCGGCCACACUGGGACUGAGACACGGCCCAGACUCCUACGGGAGGCAGCAGUAGGGAAUCUUCGGCAAUGGACGGAAGUCUGACCGAGCAACGCCGCGUGAGUGAAGAAGGUUUUCGGAUCGUAAAGCUCUGUUGUAAGAGAAGAACGAGUGUGAGAGUGGAAAGUUCACACUGUGACGGUAUCUUACCAGAAAGGGACGGCUAACUACGUG
rnacentral:rRNA from 1 species